rfam:Camelus ferus unplaced genomic scaffold scaffold1891, whole genome shotgun sequence.
GGGGGGAUGGUACAGCUCAGUGGCAGUGCAUGCUUUGCAUGCACAAGGUCCUGGGUUCAAUCCCCAGUACCUCCA